GCGCGCCGUGACGUCACGGGGGCGGGGCCGGCGGCGCAGGUGGAGGCAGCGCGGAGCGGAGCGGCCCUGGGCCGAGAAGAGCCCAGCAGCAGACGCCGAGAGUUCGGAGCAGCAGCAAGCGAAGGAGGAGGAGGAAGGAGCUGCUGAAACACCGAAGGGAGAGGCCUCUCCGGAGGAAGGGGCGCAGCAGACCGCCGAGGGGCAGAAGCAGAAGGCCUCCGGCGGCGAUACGCAGGAGGAGCCGGGCAAGAAGGAGCGCCGUGCCGCCGAGGGCCGCGGCCUCUCCCGCCUCUUCUCCUCGUUUCUCAGGAGGCCCAAGUCUCAGGUGUCCGAAGAGGACAAAGACCCCGAUGCGCCCAAAGAGGGAGGAGGUGACCAGAAAGACGCGGGGUUAGGAGCCAGCCCUGAUGAAGAGAUCCUGGUGAAGGCCCCGAUUGCAGCUCCUGAGCCUGAGCUGAAAACCGAUCCAUCGCUCGAUCUCCAUUCCUUAAGCAGUGCAGAAACACAGCCUGCACAGGAGGAGAGGAGGGAAGACCAGGAGCUGGACAGCAGAGACCUUGAGGGCCAGGAAGGAGGAGAAGCGAAGGAGGAGUGCACCAAGCCGGAGCCCAGACAGGAGACUCCAGAGACCAAAGCCGACAAGGAUUUGAAAGCUGCCCAGAGAGCUGUAAAAAGACACAGAAACAUGUACUGCAAAGUUGUCUUGCUGGAUGACACCAUUUUUGAGUGUGCUGUGGAUAAACAUGCCAAGGGGCAGGAUCUACUCAAGAAAGUCUGUGACCACCUCAAUCUCCUGGAAGAAGACUACUUUGGUUUGGCCAUAUGGGACACACCAACCUCCAGGACAUGGCUGGAUCCUGCCAAAGAAAUAAAAAAACAGGUUCAUGGAGGCCCCUGGGAUUUUACCUUCAAUGUCAAGUUUUAUCCACCAGAUCCCGCACAACUGACAGAGGAUAUAACGAGGUAUUACUUGUGUCUUCAGCUUCGACAAGACAUCGUUACGGGGCGGCUGCCUUGUUCCUUUGCGACUUUGGCUCUGCUGGGCUCGUACACAGUCCAGUCCGAGUUGGGAGACUAUGACCCUGAUCUACACAGCGCAGAUUAUAUCAGUGAAUUUAAACUGGCCCCAAACCAGACUAAAGAGCUUGAAGAGAAGGUUAUGGAACUUCAUAAAACAUACAGAUCCAUGACUCCAGCCCAAGCAGAUCUGGAAUUUCUUGAGAAUGCAAAAAAGCUGUCCAUGUACGGAGUUGACCUUCACCAAGCCAAGGACUUGGAAGGAGUGGAUAUCACUCUGGGAGUCUGUUCCAGUGGCCUUCUUGUUUACAAAGAUAAGCUGAGAAUCAACCGCUUUCCUUGGCCCAAAGUCCUGAAGAUUUCCUACAAACGCAGCAGCUUCUUUAUUAAGAUUCGGCCAGGGGAGCAAGAACAGUAUGAAAGUACAAUUGGAUUCAAGCUACCUAGUUACCGGGCAGCAAAGAAGCUGUGGAAAGUUUGUGUUGAGCAUCACACGUUUUUCAGGCUGACUUCCACCGAGGCGAUCCCCAAGAGCAGGUUCCUGGCGCUGGGCUCCAAGUUCCGCUACAGCGGCCGGACGCAGGCACAGACCAGGCAGGCGAGCGCCAUGAUCGACAGACCCGCACCCCAGUUUGAGAGGACAGCGAGCAAGCGGGCCUCCAGGAGUCUCGAUGGAGCUAAACGUGCGACUCAAAAAGUUGAGUUCAGAGCCGUAGAGGAAGAGAAGCAGGAGGAGGUGGUGGUGGUUGAGGUUCCUGAACCAAAACCCGCGGAUCAGUUCCCAGAGAAGCCAGCAGUGGCAGUGAUAACACCCGAGAGGAGCCCCCGGCCCACCUCUGCCCCGGCCAUCGCCCAGAGCCACCUCACUGAAGCUGUCCCAGCUAAGUCCGAUGUGAAGGAAGCCAUCGCUGUGUCCAAAGCAGAAAAGGAAGCAGUGAAAGCUGAGACCAAGCGCGAAGAGAUCCCACCAGAGAGAGCCAAGGCAGAGCCAGCUGAUGCAUCCAAGGUGAGGAAAACGCACACUGAGGUCACAGUACCCACUACGAAUGGUGACCAGCCCCAGAAAAGAUCAAAGAGACUAGAUGGUGAAAACAUUUAUAUCAGGCAUAGCAAUUUAAUGUUGGAGGAUCUAGAUAAGACCCAAGAAGAAAUAAAGAAGCACCACGCCAACAUCAGCGAGUUGAAGAAGAACUUCAUGGAGUCUGUCCCGGAGCCUCGGCCGAGUGAAUGGGACAAACGUUUGUCCACUCACUCCCCCUUCCGAACGCUUAACGUCAACGGGCAGAUUCCCACGGGAGCGGAUGGACCGCCUCUAGUGAAGACACAGACAGUCACCAUCUCCGACGUGUCCAAUGCUGCCAAAAGCGAAAUUCCAACAAAAGAAGUCCCCAUCGUUCACACGGAGACUAAGACCAUCACCUACGAAGCUGCACAGACGGAUGGUGGCAAUGGAGAUUUAGACCCUGGCAUCCUGCUCACUGCUCAAACCAUCACUUCAGAAACCACCAGCAGCACCACCACCACGCAGAUCACUAAGACUGUAAAAGGUGGCAUUUCAGAGACGCGGAUUGAAAAGAGGAUUGUCAUCACAGGAGAUGCAGAUGUAGACCAUGACCAGGUAGGAGCUUGGACGCAGCCCAAAAGAGCUUUUCAGAGUUGGCACAAACCAGACAGCCAGGCUGCCUUUCUGAAGAUGACUUUAACAGAAAACAAGCUAGGGAAAUUUUUCUGGAGUAGAAAUAAAGCUUCAAAACUGAUUUCAAUAAUAAAUUCCUUUUUGACAGCAUGCAGUUUCAAAGCUGGACCAGCAAGGGUUAAUUCUGCUCUGAAGCUGGUAUUGGCACAAUUUUUAAAUACAAGAGUUGUUUUGGAAAAAUGCGAUUUAAAAAUAUCUGCAAGAAUGUGAAAUAAAAGUUUUCCUUGACAUCUGGAUUAUCUGCAUACAUUUUCUAAUAACUUUGAAGCAGGAUUGCUGCAGUGUAGUGCCAGACGUCACUGCAUAGCUCUCAGCACCACCCAUGUUUAGCACUGGGUAGGAGAUGCCUGCAUUAAAUCUCAUAGGCUUUGUAUGAAAGCCUUUGUGAUGAGUCAGCCUCACUGGCCUCUAGCAUGUGUUGGAAGUGAUGAUUUUGUCAUCAGAGAAUCAUACUUUGAAUUUAAUUUUAGUUGCAAGUAUCACGGGCCUGGGAAAUAUUUGUACGACAAGAACUAGUUAAUUAAUUCUGACAGAAAAUGUCUGAGAACAUCCUCAAUGUGCUAGUCACACUUGCUGGAAGAAUAAACAGUUGGCUUAAUUGCUCCCAUCCAUCUUCUAAGAUGGGGCAGCUGAGAGAUGUGAUGUAUUCUUAGAAAACCAUCCUGCCUUUCACAAAUAACCCAGUGCCACUGCAAGUUGUCCUCUCCGCAGGACCCAGCUCGUGCUGCAGUGGCACAUUGCCCACUGCGAGCCAGGACUCCCCAGCACAGCCCGAUGGCACGCUUCCUCUGCCUGAAGUUCAUGGCCAGGCUUUAAUUCCCAUAGUGUCAAUGUGUGUGGAUUCAAAAUUACCCAACUAUUGCAGCAGUUUCCUGCUCGCCUUGUGUUCCCACUGGGACCAGGAGUCUUCAGGACCUGUUAAUUCUCAGCUCGGUGCAAUGCGCAGCAGUUAUUCCUGCCGUGCCUUUACUCCUAGGAGGAAUUAAGUAUUUGCAGCCUGCUUAAGCAGAAAACCACGUUUCCUUCCAAACUGUGCAGCACAAGUGGUUUCACUUCUCUUUUUCUCUCCCCAAAGUUAGAAAGUGUCCCAUGAGCUCGAGCACCCUUGCUGGCGUGCAGGCCCUGGCACCUCUCUGACGUGUGGUCUCUUGUAGGUGCUAGCGCAGGCCAUAAAAGCAGCGAAGGAGCAGCACCCGGACAUGUCGGUGACCAAAGUGGUUGUGCACCAGGAGACCGAGAUUGCAGAGGAGUAGCAAGGCUGUGAAACGUUCCUUCCAGACAACACCAGGAAAAACAAACCCAGCAAAACUACAGAAAAACUACCUGGAGCACAAAGACCUCGGAUUUACAAGACUUUACACUCAGAGAACAUUCAUAUCAUUUAUUAGGAGUUGCGCUUUGACAUUUUACUUGUGAUUUUCCAGAAUCCACUGGAUCCUCUUCGAUAUAGUUCUUUUUUAUAUAUAUAUUGUGACAAACAGUAUGCCAUAUUUCUAACUGUACUGAAUAUUUUUUACAAGUUUUCAAUUUUGCAUUCCCUCUCACGCAUAGCCUCUUCAGAUACAGGCCUAAACACAAACCGCAGGGCUCAAAGGGUUGGUUUUGUGUUCCUUUUGUUUUUAAGUCUUAUUCCCUCAGCCUUGUCAGGUAUAAUGGAGAUAAGCCACACCAACGCAUAUCCCGAGUGCAGAAUCUGUGCUCGUGUUCAUAAAGCAAUGGGUCCUUCUGCCAGAAGAGUCAGUUUAAAAGGUCGGACUAGAGUUUGUGCAGCAUUUCCACUUGCCUCUUGAUUUUUAGCUCUAGGGAGUUUGAGACUCCAGGCGGGAUACGGGGGCACCCAGAGCUUCUACCUUCACUUUGAGUUUCCUUACCUUUGGGUUUCGGACCCCGAUGUUUGAACGCAGUAGGGUUGUGUGGUGUAGCAUAUGCACACAAAUUAAUAGUUGGCUAGAUUUAAGGCAUACUGGAAGUUGCUUCGAGUAUCUUAUACUGUGAAUUCUAGAGCUUUAAGGGGACUGUGAUAGGCACCUCACCUUCCUCCUGUGCAUCUCUGCCUGUUUGUGUUUUCUAGAUGCCAUUAAAUUAAAAAGCCCUUAGAAGUGUGUGUUUAA